GUUUUUUUUNNGNCGGNGNGNCUUACNAUGCAGUCGAACGAUGAAGCCCAGCUUGCUGGGUGGAUUAGUGGCGAACGGGUGAGUAACACGUGAGUAACCUGCCCUUAACUCUGGGAUAAGCCUGGGAAACUGGGUCUAAUACCGGAUAGGAGCGUCCACCGCAUGGUGGGUGUUGGAAAGAUUUAUCGGUUUUGGAUGGACUCGCGGCCUAUCAGCUUGUUGGUGAGGUAAUGGCUCACCAAGGCGACGACGGGUAGCCGGCCUGAGAGGGUGACCGGCCACACUGGGACUGAGACACGGCCCAGACUCCUACGGGAGGCAGCAGUGGGGAAUAUUGCACAAUGGGCGCAAGCCUGAUGCAGCGACGCCGCGUGAGGGAUGACGGCCUUCGGGUUGUAAACCUCUUUCAGUAGGGAAGAAGCGAAAGUGACGGUACCUGCAGAAGAAGCACCGGCUAACUACGUGCCAGCAGCCGCGGUAAUACGUAGGGUGCGAGCGUUAUCCGGAAUUAUUGGGCGUAAAGAGCUCGUAGGCGGUUUGUCGCGUCUGUCGUGAAAGUCCGGGGCUUAACCCCGGAUCUGCGGUGGGUACGGGCAGACUAGAGUGCAGUAGGGGAGACUGGAAUUCCUGGUGUAGCGGUGGAAUGCGCAGAUAUCAGGAGGAACACCGAUGGCGAAGGCAGGUCUCUGGGCUGUAACUGACGCUGAGGAGCGAAAGCAUGGGGAGCGAACAGGAUUAGAUACCCUGGUAGUCCAUGCCGUAAACGUUGGGCACUAGGUGUGG
rnacentral:rRNA from 1 species